rnacentral:rRNA from 1 species
AACAGGGAAGCUUGCUUCCGCUGACGACCGGCGCACGGGUGCGUAACGCGUAUAGAACCUAUCUUUUACAGAGGGAUAGCCUUUAGAAAUGAAGAUUAAUACCUCAUAGUAUUAUAGAUUCGCAUGAAUUUAUACUUAAAGAUUUAUCGGUAAAAGAUGGCUAUGCGUCCUAUUAGCUAGAUGGUAAGGUAACGGCUUACCAUGGCGACGAUAGGUAGGGGUCCUGAGAGGGAGAUCCCCCACACUGGUACUGAGACACGGACCAGACUCCUACGGGAGGCAGCAGUGAGGAAUAUUGGGCAAUGGAGGCAACUCUGACCCAGCCAUGCCGCGUGCAGGAAGACGGCCCUAUGGGUUGUAAACUGCUUUUAUACAGGAAGAAACACUCGUACGUGUACGAGCUUGACGGUACUGUAAGAAUAAGGACCGGCUAACUCCGUGCCAGCAGCCGCGGUAAUACGGAGGGUCCGAGCGUUAUCCGGAAUCAUUGGGUUUAAAGGGUCCGCAGGCGGUCAAUUAAGUCAGAGGUGAAAUCCCAUAGCUUAACUAUGGAACUGCCUUUGAUACUGGUUGACUUGAGUCAUAUGGAAGUAGAUAGAAUGUGUAGUGUAGCGGUGAAAUGCAUAGAUAUUACACAGAAUACCGAUUGCGAAGGCAGUCUACUACGUAUGUACUGACGCUGAGGGACGAAAGCGUGGGGAGCGAACAGGAUUAGAUACCCUGGUAGUCCACGCCGUAAACGAUGGAUACUAGUUGUUGGGAUUUAUCUCAGUGACUAAGCGAAAGUGAUAAGUAUCCCACCUGGGG